rnacentral:pre_miRNA from 1 species
GUUUUUUAGUCGCUGCCAUAUAUAGCGACACAAAGAAUUUAAUUGAGGUAUAUGAUAAGACGGCAAUUCCAUGACUAAAGGUGCGGGUUUUCCUGGAAGGAUCGUUUUUCGUAAAACUAAACCGGAAAGGAUAGCA